CGCCAUUAUUGUACAGGGCGGCGUGGUGUACGGUUGACUAAUGAAGAUGGAUAACAAGAUAAACGUACACACAAGUUUGCGCUUGUGUUGUUUGAUUUUGAUGGUUACACUGCUGUAGUGGAGUCAAAACGUCUUGAAGGAUAUGAUGGUGUACUGGAACGUUCUGUGAAGUGCAGGAUUUAUUAUGAAUGCAAGUUCUAUUCUGUGGAAGUUCUGGAUUUAACAGAAACAGAGGAAGAUGCAAAUCGAAGAGAUACCCAGUGGGGGAGAUCUCAUCGGGCCAGAACAAUUGGAAGGGAAAGGGAUAGCAGGGAGGAAGAGAAUUCUCGACACACGAAAUAUGGUGGAUACCUUAAUGUUUGGCCAGAUGAUGCUGUUUUAGAGCUUGAAUCUGAAAGCAAUAACUCAGUAUGCAGUGACAGUGGAGUUGAUGCAAGAACUGAAAAGG